GAAAUGCGAAAAGUAGUGUGAAUUGCAGAAUUCCGUGAAUCAUCGAAUUUUCGAACGCACAUUGCGCCCCUCGGUAUUCCGUGGGGCAUGCCUGUUCGAGCGUCAUUUACACCCUCAAGCACUGCUUGGUGUUGGGCGUCUGUCCCGCUUCGGCGUGGACUCGCCCCAAAGAUAUUGGCAGCGGUCGGCCAGCUUCUCGCGCAGCACAUUUGCGUUUCAAAGAGGCUGCGGACCUGCGUCCAGCAAGCUCUUUUUUUAAAUUGACCUCGGAUCAGGUAGGGAUACCCGCUGAACUUAA
rnacentral:misc_RNA from 1 species